CCAGGCCUAUAGUCAUCCACUAACUCGUGAAUUUACAACCAUUUGAACAUUUUUUCAGUGGAGCGGGGAACUAAUUUCCCAAAAAUCAUUCUCGUCUAGUUCUAUCAGGCCAUUCCAAAAAUAUCCCAAAAACUUGUGUUUAUUUUUCUUCUCCUACCGGGCAUCUCUCUUUCUCUCUCUCUCUUGCUCGUUCCAAAUUUCUCAGUCCUUUGUGAACUCCACAGAAGAGAAAGAAGGCAAAAUAAACCAUGAUAUUUGAUCUCAUCUGCCUCUUUGUAUUUAAUAAAUGAAUGAAUUCAUAGCUAGAACCACUAGUUGAUACUAAAUCAGGCAGCAGUUGCAGUGAAGAGCGAAAUCAAAUGAAAUGAAGUGAAAGGGAGCAAAAAGCCCUAUACAGACACAGAGGCAGAGCGAGAAAUGAUGGAGAAUGGUUAUGAUGGGAAAUUUGCGGAGAAAUUCUCAGGGUUGGCGAUUUCGAACGCAGCUGAUACUAUUCGUUCCUCAAACGCCAACCACAACCACCAAAACGACAGCAGCUUGUUUCAGGUCAUGAAAGCCGUGGAAGCUGCGGAAGCCACCAUCAAGCAACAAGUCGAAGAGAAUCUCCGACUGAGGACUGAACUUCAGCACAAGAUUCUUGAGCUCGACAGAUAUAAACUAGAUGAAUCAAUGGCCCAAAGGUCGCCUUCAGUUGAUCCUUGGUCCGAGGGUCUCCAAACAUCUUUUCAAGCGCAUCAACCAGUUCCCCAUGUGGAUGGUCAAGACAAUAAAAUUAAGAGUGUAGGAAACACUUCUGUAGUUCUCCACCAAGAGAGUCAAAACCCAACUACUGAUGCCCCAAUACAAAGUCAUGCUGAAACUCAAUCCAACAAUGGCACAAUCAAUGGAACCAUGAAGCUGCCUACAGAUAAUGCUGGCUCCUCUCACUUGUCUUCGCCAUCUACCACAUCAUUUUCUCCAGGAAGGUUUAACACGGUAGGAGAAUAUGAUCCACGGUUCAAUUUUUCUGGGCAAGGGCUGAUGCCAAUGGCUGAAUUAAAUACUCCUAGCAGCCUCUGGAAACAGGAUCUGAGUGUUAAGAUUCAUGAACAUGAAGAAGAGAUUAUGCAAUUACGGAAACAUCUUGCUAAUUAUUCAAUAAAGGAAGCACAAAUACGCAAUGAAAAAUAUGUUCUGGAGAAGCGUAUUGCUUAUAUGCGUCUGGCCUUUGAUCAGCAGCAACAAGAUCUUGUCGAUGCUGCAUCAAAAGCUCUAUCUUAUAGACAAGACAUUAUCGAGGAAAACAUACGCCUCACAUAUGCAUUACAGGAUGCACAGCAAGAGAGAUCAACAUUUGUUUCAUCUUUGCUGCCUCUUCUUGCAGAGUACUCUUUACAGCCACCAGUUCCUGAUGCCCAAUCAAUUGUUAGCAAUAUCAAGGUUCUAUUUAAACAUUUGCAAGAAAAGCUCCUUCUUACUGAGACAAAAUUAAAGGAGUCACAGUACCAAUUAGGACCUUGGCGCUCAGAUUCAAUUCACUCUAACAUUGCCCCACAGUCACCGUCUCACUCCAUUGGUGCAGCGUUGGCUACUUCAAACAAAAAUGGGCUAGAACUGGUUCCUCAGCCAAUAUAUUCCCAUGAAACAGUACCAGUUUCUACUUCUGAUGCUCAGACAACCACAGAGUGGGAUCUAUUGGGUCGCCAUCAGAGUGGUUUGGGUGGUGUUGUCACAAAUAACCUGAAAGCCAAUGGCCUGGGGAGGUAUUCACCUAUAGAAAGCAGGACUUCUGCAGCCCAAGAUCUACCUACUCAACUUGCUGUUACUCAGGGUGAUGCACAAGUAACUCGUUACAGUGAAGAAACCACCAAUAAACAGGUCACAUUUCGUGAUCCUGUCAGGAACUCAGAGAGUGAUUAUCAAGAUCCAGAAGGAAACCACAAUGAGAGAGAAACGUCGGCCAAUUGGAAUUCAGGAAACGCUCCUUACACAACAGCGCUUGAUGAUCCCAGCUCCUCGUAUGCCCAUUAUCUACCACCAGUGCUUGAAGAACCUUCUUCUUCAUUUUCAGAGGCUGCAGAUGAUGACCCAUUACCAGCUAUAGAUGGCCUACAAAUUUCAGGCGAAGCUUUUCCUGGACGGGAACUUCAAGCAUGUGGAUACUCUAUUAAUGGAACAACCAGUUGCAAUUUUGAGUGGGUACGCCAUCGGGAAGAUGGAUCUGUUAAUUACAUUGAUGGAGCAAAGCAACCAAACUAUCUUGUUACUGCUGAUGAUGUUGAGACAUACCUUGCUAUUGAAGUCCAACCUCUGGAUAACAGGAAGCGAAAGGGAGAGCUUGUGAAGGUUUUUGCCAAUGAGCACAAAAAGAUAACUUGCGAUCCUGAAAUGCAAAGUCACAUAGAGAAGAUUGUUGGUAGUGGUCAUGCUUCAUUUAAAAUUUAUCUGUCGACUGGAUAUCUUGAUAUAUGGGAACCGGCUACGUUGGCUAUUAAGAGGGAAGCUUAUAGUAUUAAGUGUAGUGAAACUAGUGGUGUUGUACUUACAGAAAAGUUUUCGCCAACAACACUUGUAACAAUUCCAUAUGGAAGUCCUACAGAACUCAUAAUAUCUAAUCCUGGUGGGGGUGAGCAUAUUUUAAAAGCAGAUGAUAGCUCGACCGAUAUUAGCUGUUCUAGAGAUACAAUUGUGCUCACGUUGAGACUAUUUAUCCUAAGGAUCACAUAGACCUUGGAGACUCGAAUCGAAGCAUUUAGUGAGGGAGACGAGCACAAUCAUAAUGCACUUAGCAGGCUGGUGAGAGAAGGAAAGGUAAAAAAAGGUUGUUUUUUUGAGUAGGGCAAUUAUCUCCUGCUGUUGGGAUCCACAAGAGCUUGUGUUCUUAAGGGUAAGGUUGUCAAUUACAUAUUUGGGUGUUGGUUGUGCUGUUGAACUUCCUGCUAUUCAAUAUUUGUUAGAGCAGCAAUGAAUUUUGUGUUGUAAUUUAUUGUAUGAAACGAUCAAUGUUGUUCUUUUUAGAUUUAUACUGCUUUUAUUUUUUCUUUCUGUUUAACUCCACCAUCUCUAUCUUAUACGCACUGUCCAAAAACGUAUAAUCGUUUAGGGGUUAGGAUCUGGGGACAGCUUUUUACAAAUAAUUUUACACUCCUUUUUAGUUUCUAGAUCCAUUUACAUCUAAAGGGUCCAAAGGAAAAGUUAAGAUUUCUUUUCACUUGUUUUACUUGUUAUUUUCUACACAACUAAUAGGAUGUCCAUGAAGAUGUGGCAAAAUCAUGUGACGUAAGUGGUUGCGUUGAGUCUUUAGAUGUCAGGUCAGGUUCAUACGGGUUGACACGACACGACACAACACAACAAUAACAUAAAUAUUGAGGGUGGAACUUUGGGAAAUAUGCUUAGGUUUUUUUUCUUUAUUAUGUACAGAGUUUGAUGCAGAAUGCAUAAUGCAUUUGAUUAGUUUUCCCAAUGCUAUUCGGAUUAGUUAUUAUUACUUUUCCUGUCAUAAAUUAAAGAAUAUCGUCCUAAGAUGUUUGAGAUGUUCCUUACAAAAGUGGUUGUAUAUAAGUAUGUCAUCAAAAUAAACCACCAGAAAUUUACCAAUGUAAGGUCGUAACCCUUGAGUCAUCACCCUCAUAAAUGUGCUAGGUGCAUUGGACAUUCCAAAAGGCGUAACAAGCCAUUCAUAUAAACCAUUAGGGGUUUUAAAUGCGGUUUUCCAUUUAUCUCCUUCACGAAUGCGGAUUUGAUGGUAGCCACUGAGAAGAUCUAUCUUAGAAAACCAUUGGGAACUAGCCAAAUUAUCCAACAUAUCCUUAAGUCACGGUAUGGGAAAAUGAUACUUAACUGUAAUUUUAUUUACGAUGCGACUAUCAACACAUAUUUGUCAGGAGCCAUCUUUUUGGGGGUAAGGAGAAUCUGAAUAGCACGAGGACUUGUACUAAGACAAAUAAAGUCCUUUAUCCAGAAGCCCUUGAAUUUGUCGAUUAAACUCUACUCAC